rnacentral:rRNA from 1 species
GAUCUUGUCCUUCGGGAUAAGGUUAGCGGCGGACGGGUGAGUAACACGUGGGUAACCUGCCUGUAAGACUGGGAUAACAUUCGGAAACGAAUGCUAAUACCGGAUACGCGAUUUGGUCGCAUGAUCGAAUCGGGAAAGAUGGAGCAAUCUAUCACUUACAGAUGGACCCGCGGCGCAUUAGCUAGUUGGUGAGGUAACGGCUCACCAAGGCGACGAUGCGUAGCCGACCUGAGAGGGUGAUCGGCCACACUGGGACUGAGACACGGCCCAGACUCCUACGGGAGGCAGCAGUAGGGAAUCUUCCGCAAUGGACGAAAGUCUGACGGAGCAACGCCGCGUGAGUGAUGAAGGUUUUCGGAUCGUAAAGCUCUGUUGCCAGGGAAGAAUGCUUGGGAGAGUAACUGCUCCCAAGGUGACGGUACCUGAGAAGAAAGCCCCGGCUAACUACGUGCCAGCAGCCGCGGUAAUACGUAGGGGGCAAGCGUUGUCCGGAAUUAUUGGGCGUAAAGCGCGCGCAGGCGGCCUUGUAAGUCUGUUGUUUAAACUUGGGGCUCAACCCCAAGUCGCAAUGGAAACUGCAAAGCUUGAGUACAGAAGAGGAAAGUGGAAUUCCACGUGUAGCGGUGAAAUGCGUAGAGAUGUGGAGGAACACCAGUGGCGAAGGCGACUUUCUGGGCUGUAACUGACGCUG